UACGUAGGGUGCAAGCGUUAAUCGGAAUUACUGGGCGUAAAGCGUGCGCAGGCGGUUGUGCAAGACCGAUGUGAAAUCCCCGGGCUUAACCUGGGAAUGGCAUUGGUGACUGCACGGCUAGAGUGUGUCAGAGGGGGGUAGAAUUCCACGUGUAGCAGUGAAAUGCGUAGAUAUGUGGAGGAACACCGAUGGCGAAGGCAGCCCCCCUGGGUCAAAACUGACGCUCAUGCACGAAAGCGUGGGGAGCAAACAGG
rnacentral:rRNA from 1 species